GGCUAACGCUGGCGGCGUGUCUUAGCCAUGCAAGUCGAGCGGACUUAUGGGGUAACUUAUAAGUCAGCGGCGGACGGCGGAGUAACACGUAGCUAACCUACCCUCUGGACGGGGAUAACCUACCGAAAGGUGGGCUAAUACCCGAUGUAGUCAUCCUGUAUAGGGGUGAUGAAAGGUGGGCUUCUGUUUACAAGCUCAUGCUGGAGGAGGGGGCUGCGGCCUAUCAGGUAGUUGGUAGGGUAAUAGCCUACCAAGCCGAUGACGGGUAGCCGGCCUGAGAGGGUGACCGGCCCGAGGGGCACUGAGAUACGGGUCCCACUCCUACGGGAGCAGCAGGCUAGAAAUUUGGGCAAUGGGGGAAACCCUGACCCAGUGACGCCGCGUGCAGGAAGGAGCCCUUCGGGGUGUAAACUGCUGUCGUGUAGGGAGAAGGGUACUAAGGUGAACAAUCUUAGUACUUGACGGUACUACAGGAGGAAGCCCAGGCUAACCUCGUGCCAGCAGCCGCGGUAAGUAGCGUACU
rnacentral:rRNA from 1 species